rnacentral:rRNA from 1 species
AUUGAACGCUGGCGGCAGGCCUAACACAUGCAAGUCGAAUGGUAACAGGAAACAGCUUGCUGUUUCGCUGACGAGUGGCGGACGGGUGAGUAAUGUCUGGGAAACUGCCUGAUGGAGGGGGAUAACUACUGGAAACGGUAGCUAAUACCGCAUAACGUCGCAAGACCAAAGAGGGGGACCUUCGGGCCUCUUGCCAUCAGAUGUGCCCAGAUGGGAUUAGCUAGUAGGUGGGGUAACGGCUCACCUAGGCGACGAUCCCUAGCUGGUCUGAGAGGAUGACCAGCCACACUGGAACUGAGACACGGUCCAGGCUCCUACGGGAGGCAGCAGUGGGGAAUAUUGCACAAUGGGCGCAAGCCUGAUGCAGCCAUGCCGCGUGUAUGAAGAAGGCCUUCGGGCUGUAAAGUACUUUCAGCGGGGAGGAAGGGAGUAAAGUUAAUACCUUUGCUCAUUGACGUUACCCGCAGAAGAAGCACCGGCUAACUCCGUG